rnacentral:lncRNA from 1 species
AGUAAAUCCUCAAUUAUAUAAAUCAAUCAAACAUUUAUUGAGUAACAAACCUUGACAUUAACUAGUUUAGAAAGAUAUGUAUUGAACAUCAAAAUUAAUUAAAUAUAUACUUAUAUCCUGAAGAACAUAAAAUCAUCUUCUAUAUUCUGAUAAAUAAAAUAUUAACAUAAGUUAUAUAGACUAAAAAAUAUGCUAAAAUACGAAUUAUAAGUAGAAAAUGAAAAAUAAAAAAAGAAAAAGAAUAAUUACAAGAAAAUGAAAAGGAAAAAAAGAAAAAUAAAUAAAUACAAGAAAAUGAAAAUGAGACCGUAUGCUAUAAAGGAAACCAACUCAAUCAUUUAUCCAGUGUUACAUUAGCAUCACCUUUAUUAUUGUGAGAUCCUCAUAAUCUUAAAAAAUAUCUCAAUCUGAUCAAAACAAUACGAAAAACCCUAUCAUAAUCAUUCGUGACGCAAGAAUAAAAUUGAAAAUAAGAGGAAACACAGAUGAAUAGGGUGACAAAAUAAAUAAGUUAGAGAUGUGUAACCUUCAAAAUAUCAACCUAUAUACGAAAUCACUUGAUCUGUACAUUUGAUAGAUAAAAAAGAAAAUGACUCAUAAAAGAUAGAAAAAAAAAGGGAAAUAUGACAAUUUUUCAGCAGUACGUAUUUUUUUACCCUUUGUAUUUUUUUAUACAAUCAUAAAGUGAUCAUGAACAAGGGAUUUCUAUGAAAUAAUGUAAGCUAAAUAUUUCUAUUAAGUACAUCCUCAAUUAUAUAAAUCAAUAAAACAUGUAAUGAUUAACAAACGUUGACAUUAAAUAGUUUAGGAAGAUAUGUAUUGAACAUCAAAAUUAAUUAAAUAUAUACUUAUAUCCUAAAGAACAUACAAUGUCAUCUUCUAUAUUCUGAUAAUUAAACAAUUAACAUAAGUUAUACAGAUUAAAAAAUAUGCUAAAAUACUAAUUAUAAGUAGAAAAUGAAAAAGAAAAAAAGAAAACAGAAUAAUUAUAAGAAAAUGAAAAUGAGAUCGUGUGGUAUAAAGGAAACCAACUCAAUCAUUUUUCCAGUGUUACAUUAGCAUCACCUUUAUUAUUGUGAGAUCCUCAUAAUCCUAACAAACAUCUCAAUCUCAUCAAAACAAUACAAAAAACCCGAUCAUAAUCAUUGGUGAGGCAAGAAUAAAAUUGAAAAUAAGAGGAAACACAGAUGAAUAGAGUGACAAAAUAAACAAGUUAGAGAUGUGUAACCUUCAAAAGAUCAACCUAUAUCAGAAAUCACUUGAUCUGUACAUUUGAUAGAUAAGAAAGAAAAUGACUCAUAAAAGAAAGAAAAAAAAGGAAAAUAUGACAAUUUAUCAAGUGUACGUAUUUUUUUACCCUUUGUAUUUUGUUUAUACAAUCAUAAAGUGAUCAUGAACAAGAGAUUUCUAUUAAAUAGUGUAAGCUAAAUAUUUCUAUUAAGUACAUCCUCACUUAUAUAAAUCAAUCGAACAUGUAAUGAUUAACAAACCUUGACAUUAAAUAGUUUAGAAAGAUAUGUAUUGAACAUCAAAAUUAAUUAAAUAUAUACUUAUAUCCUAAAGAACAUACAAUGUCAUCUUCUAUAUUCUGAUAAUUAAACAAUUAACAUAAGUUAUACAGAUUAAAAAAUAUGCUAAAAUACUAAUUAUAAGUAGAAAAUGAAAAAGAAAAAAAGAAAACAGAAUAAUUAUAAGAAAAUGAAAAUGAGAUCGUGUGGUAUAAAGGAAACCAACUCAAUCAUUUUUCCAGUGUUACAUUAGCAUCACCUUUAUUAUUGUGAGAUCCUCAUAAUCCUAACAAACAUCUCAAUCUCAUCAAAACAAUACAAAAAACCCGAUCAUAAUCAUUGGUGAGGCAAGAAUAAAAUUGAAAAUAAGAGGAAACACAGAUGAAUAGAGUGACAAAAUAAACAAGUUAGAGAUGUGUAACCUUCAAAAGAUCAACCUAUAUCAGAAAUCACUUGAUCUGUACAUUUGAUAGAUAAGAAAGAAAAUGACUCAUAAAAGAAAGAAAAAAAAGGAAAAUAUGACAAUUUAUCAAGUGUACGUAUUUUUUUACCCUUUGUAUUUUGUUUAUACAAUCAUAAAGUGAUCAUGAACAAGAGAUUUCUAUUAAAUAGUGUAAGCUAAAUAUUUCUAUUAAGUACAUCCUCACUUAUAUAAAUCAAUCGAACAUGUAAUGAUUAACAAACCUUGACAUUAAAUAGUUUAGAAAGAUAUGUAUUGAACAUCAAAAUUAAUUAAAUAUAUACUUAUAUCCUAAAGAACAUACAAUGUCAUCUUCUAUAUUCUGAUAAUUAAACAAUUAACAUAAGUUAUACAGAUUAAAAAAUAUGCUAAAAUACUAAUUAUAAGUAGAAAAUGAAAAAGAAAAAAAGAAAACAGAAUAAUUAUAAGAAAAUGAAAAUGAGAUCGUGUGGUAUAAAGGAAACCAACUCAAUCAUUUUUCCAGUGUUACAUUAGCAUCACCUUUAUUAUUGUGAGAUCCUCAUAAUCCUAACAAACAUCUCAAUCUCAUCAAAACAAUACAAAAAACCCGAUCAUAAUCAUUGGUGAGGCAAGAAUAAAAUUGAAAAUAAGAGGAAACACAGAUGAAUAGAGUGACAAAAUAAACAAGUUAGAGAUGUGUAACCUUCAAAAGAUCAACCUAUAUCAGAAAUCACUUGAUCUGUACAUUUGAUAGAUAAGAAAGAAAAUGACUCAUAAAAGAAAGAAAAAAAAGGAAAAUAUGACAAUUUAUCAAGUGUACGUAUUUUUUUACCCUUUGUAUUUUGUUUAUACAAUCAUAAAGUGAUCAUGAACAAGAGAUUUCUAUUAAAUAGUGUAAGCUAAAUAUUUCUAUUAAGUACAUCCUCACUUAUAUAAAUCAAUCGAACAUGUAAUGAUUAACAAACCUUGACAUUAAAUAGUUUAGAAAGAUAUGUAUUGAACAUCAAAAUUAAUUAAAUAUAUACUUAUAUCCUAAAGAACAUACAAUGUCAUCUUCUAUAUUCUGAUAAUUAAACAAUUAACAUAAGUUAUACAGAUUAAAAAAUAUGCUAAAAUACUAAUUAUAAGUAGAAAAUGAAAAAGAAAAAAAGAAAACAGAAUAAUUAUAAGAAAAUGAAAAUGAGAUCGUGUGGUAUAAAGGAAACCAACUCAAUCAUUUUUCCAGUGUUACAUUAGCAUCACCUUUAUUAUUGUGAGAUCCUCAUAAUCCUAACAAACAUCUCAAUCUCAUCAAAACAAUACAAAAAACCCGAUCAUAAUCAUUGGUGAGGCAAGAAUAAAAUUGAAAAUAAGAGGAAACACAGAUGAAUAGAGUGACAAAAUAAACAAGUUAGAGAUGUGUAACCUUCAAAAGAUCAACCUAUAUCAGAAAUCACUUGAUCUGUACAUUUGAUAGAUAAGAAAGAAAAUGACUCAUAAAAGAAAGAAAAAAAAGGAAAAUAUGACAAUUUAUCAAGUGUACGUAUUUUUUUACCCUUUGUAUUUUGUUUAUACAAUCAUAAAGUGAUCAUGAACAAGAGAUUUCUAUUAAAUAGUGUAAGCUAAAUAUUUCUAUUAAGUACAUCCUCACUUAUAUAAAUCAAUCGAACAUGUAAUGAUUAACAAACCUUGACAUUAAAUAGUUUAGAAAGAUAUGUAUUGAACAUCAAAAUUAAUUAAAUAUAUACUUAUAUCCUAAAGAACAUACAAUGUCAUCUUCUAUAUUCUGAUAAUUAAACAAUUAACAUAAGUUAUACAGAUUAAAAAAUAUGCUAAAAUACUAAUUAUAAGUAGAAAAUGAAAAAGAAAAAAAGAAAACAGAAUAAUUAUAAGAAAAUGAAAAUGAGACCGUAUGGUAUAAAGGAAACCAACUCAAUCAUUUUUCCAGUGUUACAUUAGCAUCACCUUUAUUAUUGUGAGAUCCUCAUAAUCCUAACAAACAUCUCAAUCUUAUCAAAACAAUACGAAAAACCCUAUCAUAAUCAUUGGUGACGCAAGAAUAAAAUUGAAAAUAAGACGAAACACAGAUGAAUAGAGUGACAAAAUAAACAAGUUAGAGAUGUGUAACCUUCAAAAGAUCAACCUAUAUCAGAAAUCACUUGAUCUGUACAUUUGAUAGAUAAAAUAGAAAAUGACUCAUAAAAGAUAGAAAAAAAGUAAAAUAUGACAAUUUUUCAGCAGUACGAAUUUUUUAUCCUUUGUAUUUUUUUUAUACAAUCAUAAAGUGAUCAUGAACAAGAGAUUUCUAUUAAAUAAUGUAAGCUAAAUAUUUCUAUUAAGUACAUCCUCACUUAUAUAAAUCAAUAAAACAUGUAAUGAUUAAUAAACCUUGACAUUAAAUAGUUUAGAAAGAUAUGUAUUGAACAUCAAAAUUAAUUAAAUAUAUACUUAUAUCCUAAAGAACAUACAAUGUCAUCUUCUAUAUUCUGAUAAUUAAACAAUUAACAUAAUUUAUACAGAUUAAAAAAUAUGCUAAAAUAAUAAUUAUAAGUAGAAAAUGAAAAAGAAAAAAAGAAAACAGAAUAAUUAUAAGAAAAUGAAAAUGAGAUCGUGUGGUAUAAAGGAAACCAACUCAAUCAUUUUUC